rnacentral:rRNA from 1 species
AUUGAACGCUGGCGGCAUGCCUUACACAUGCAAGUCGAACGGUAACGGGCCUUCGGGUGCCGACGAGUGGCGCACGGGUGAGUAAUACAUCGGAACGUGCCCGAUCUUGGGGGAUAACGAGGCGAAAGCUUUGCUAAUACCGCAUACGAUCUACGGAUGAAAGCCGGGGACCGCAAGGCCUUGCGCGGACGGAGCGGCCGAUGGCAGAUUAGGUAGUUGGUGGGAUAAAAGCUUUCCAAGCCGACGAUCUGUAGCUGGUCUGAGAGGAUGAUCAGCCACACUGGGACUGAGACACGGCCCAGACUCCUACGGGAGGAAGCAGUGGGGAAUUUUGGACAAUGGGCGCAAGCCUGAUCCAGCCAUGCCGCGUGCAGGAUGAAGGCCUUCGGGUUGUAAACUGCUUUUGUACGGAACGAAAAGCCUUCUUUUAAUACAGGAGGGUCAUGACGGUACCGUAAGAAUAAGCACCGGCUAACUACGUG